CGAAACCACUCUAUUUGAAGCUAUGACGUCAGUCGUAGGCAAUGAAAUUAUCAAAGUGAAGAAGAUAAACGAUUUUGCGUUUGUCCACUUCACGACACGCCAGGCGGCGGAAGUAGCUCUUCGGUUUUGGAAUAACAAACAGCUUGAUGGUUCCAUCAUCGAAGUCACUUGGGCUAAACCACCUCAAAAGUCACUGCAAGACAAAACGUUCAACCGUUCAGCAAGUGUACAGGCAGCAAUGUUACCCAAAUACAAUGACAGCACUCUUACAUCACCGGUUUUAAGAAG